GUGGCUGGGGGUGAAAGGCCAAUCAAACCGGGAGAUAGCUGGUUCUCCCCGAAAGCUAUUUAGGUAGCGCCUCGUGAACUCAUCUCCGGGGGUAGAGCACUGUUUCGGCUAGGGGGCCAUCCCGGCUUACCAAC
rnacentral:rRNA from 1 species